rnacentral:lncRNA from 1 species
GGGACUCAAUAAAUACCAAAUCUUAGAAGAAUGUAACUCCUGUUCUGUGUUAAGGAUUGCUCCAGGACCUCCACUUCCAUCCUCUCUAAUCCUCACGAAACUCCUACCAAGAAAGGAUUACUAUACCAUGGUUACAGGGGAGGAAGCUGAAGCUAAGAGAGUUUAAUGAACUUGAAUGAAGGUCAAGCAGGUAAAAGAAAACCAGAGACUCUGUGUGGUGGGCAUGUCCUUAAUCUUUGGAAGCAGAGUGAGCUCCCUUCUACCCCUGCCUUGCCCAGGGAGCCUGAGGUCUGGGAUCAUUCAGGGAUUGCAACCUCCCACCUGAGUUUACUUUCACUCUGCAAAUAUUUGUCGGGAGGCUUUCCCACCCCUCAGCGAAAGCUCUGGCUCUACAGGUGUCCAUCAUAGGAUGCAAUCCUCCAAGCCCGUCCUCACUGGCCUCCUGGCCCCCGUCUCGUCACCCUCCAAGUUGCUGCUAUGGACACAGAUCAACCUCUGGGUGCAGCGCACCUGGCAGUGAGGUGUCAAGCGAGCCUUCAACCUCUCCCCACAUCAAUUUUCUCACCUUGACAUUGGGGAUCAGAGUGCCUAUUGUGUAUCCACUCAUCCAUUCAUUUCAAGCAUGUUCAUGGAGCACCCAUCACAUGUCUUCCAAGCAACGACAGAGGAGAUGUGAGGACCGACUGUAACAACCUAAGAAAGCACUGAGCAAAUGAGAGAUGCUCCACAUAUGUGGCUCUUUCACUUUCUCUUCUUUCCCAAAACACCAGUUUAUAAAUCAGCAUCACAGCUCCAAAGCCUCUGUGUGUCUUUUCCCCUGCCAAGGAUAAAGUCCAUAUUUCUUUGUUGACCUUUAACAUUUAAGAUAUCUAAGACAAAUCUAUCUAUCUAUUUAUUUAUGAAAAUUUAAGCUGUA